rnacentral:rRNA from 1 species
UCAAGCGAACAAGGGCGCAGGGCGAAUGCCUUGGCACUGGGAGCCGAUGAAAGACGUGAUAAGCUGCGAUAAGCUUCGGGGAGCUGCAAAUAAGCAUUGAUCCGGAGAUUUCUGAAUGAGGAAACUCACCUGGGUUCAUACUCAGGUACGUUGUACUGAAAUUCAAAAUAGGUACAUCGGGGGAACCGCCUGAACUGAAACAUCUAAGUAGGGCGAGGAAGAGACAUCAAACGAGAUUCCGUAAGUAGUGGCGAGCGAACGCGGAAGAGGGCAAACCGAAGGUAGAAAUACCUUCGGGGUACGGAGCGCAUUUAAGACUCAAGUUGUUAACCGAACGGCAUGGGAAGGCCGGUCAGAGAGUGUGAGAACCACGUAGGUGAAAACGGAGAGAGCUGCGCAGAUUCCAGAGUACGGCCAGACACGUGAAACCUGGUCGGAAGAUGGGGGGACCACCCUCCAACCCUAAAUACUACCCAGUGACCGAUAGCGUAUAGUACUGUGAAGGAAAGGUGAAAAGCACCCCGGGAGGGGAGUGAAAAAGAACCUGAAACCCUGUGCCUACAAGCACCUAGAGCACGUCAAUGUGUGAUAGGGUACUUUUUGUAGAACGGUCCGGCGAGCGAUUGUAUGCAGCAAGGUUAAGGACUUAAGGUCUGGAGCCGAAGCGAAAGCGAGUUUGAAAAGGGCGUUAAGUUGCAUAUAAUGGGCCCGAAACCGGGUGACCUACCCAUGGUCAGGUUGAAGUGGAAGUAAAAUUCCAUGGAGGACCGAACCGACCUCCGUUGAAAAGGCGGCGGAUGAACUGUGGGUAGCGGAGAAAUUCCAAUCGAACCCGGAGAUAGCUGGUUCUCCCCGAAAUAGUUUUAGGACUAGCCUCAAGUUAGAUACCUGGAGGUAAAGCACUGAAUAGCCUAGCGGCCGAGAGGUUAGCGAAGCUUAUCAAACUCAGAAUGCCAGAGUAUUGAUGCUUGGGAGUCAGACAGUGUCAGAUAAAUGUCAUUGUCAAAAGGGAAACAGCCCAGAUCUACAGCUAAGGUCCCAAAGUCAGGUUAAGUGGAAAACGAUGUGAAGAUACGCAGACAACCAGGAUGUUGGCUCAGAAGCAGCCACUCAUUCAAAGAGUGCGUAAUAGCUCACUGGUCGAGCGUCUUUGCGCGGAGAAUUUAACGGGGCUAAACCUGACACCGAAGCUUAGGCAAUCCAGCAAUGGAUUGGGUAGGGGAGCGUUGUAUACGCGGAGAAACAGUAGCGUAAGCGGCUGUGGAGUGUAUAGAAGUGAGAAUGCCGGAAUGAGUAGCGCGAAUGCAGUGAGAAUCUGCAUGGCCGAAAGCCUCAGGUUUUUGGAGGAAGGUUCGUCCGCUCCAAGUUAGUCGGGAGCUAAGGUGAGGCCGGAAGGCGUAGCCGAUGCACAGACGGUAGAGAUUCCGUCACCACCGAAAGAGUUAAGCACAGGGACACAUUUGAAGUCUCAGAGCCGGGUGUUGGUUCCGGUAGAGAUCGAGGGAAGUUAGUACCGAAGUCUGGGAUGGAAGAUGGCGAGAAAAGCUGUGUGUAUUUCUGAGGUGCCCGUACCGCAAACCGACACAGGUAGGUAGGAAGAAGAUUCUAAGGCCAACGGGAGAAGGGUUGUUAAGGAACUCGGCAAAUUGACCCCGUAACUUCGGGAGAAGGGGUGCUCCAGAGAUGGAGCCGCAGAGAAUCGGCCCAAGCAACUGUUUACCAAAAACACAGGUUUGUGCUAAAUCGAAAGAUGACGUAUACGAGCUGACGCCUGCCCGGUGCUGGAAGGUUAAGAGGAGAUGUGCAAGCAUUGAAUCGAAGCCCCAGUGAACGGCGGCCGUAACUAUAACGGUCCUAAGGUAGCGAAAUUCCUUGUCAGGUAAG